rnacentral:lncRNA from 1 species
ACAAACAAAAAAUAUUCAUUUUUAUCAAAUUCAUAUCUAGAUCCAUCUAUAUUUACAUGUGCUCUAGCUGGAUUUCAUCCGUUAACUCUUCACGAAGAGGAGCGACAAAGGCAAAGGUCGGUGUAGAGGUUAAGAGGCGGAGGCGGUGGUGAAUACAUCAUUUAAUUUUACAUCAUUUUGCCAAAAACAACAUAUAUCAUUUAAUCAAAACAGAAAGGGAAAUACUGAAAUUCAAAAUCAAAACACCUAAUAGAUUUACAAAUUUUAAUCCCUCAUCCAAAUGUGAUGCAUAUGAUAAGGUCUCUCAUGUUGUUGACAUAUUUCAAAUUUCUCCCAUUUAUCCAUCACAAACAAAAAAUAUCUAUUUUUAUCAAAUUCAGAUCUAGAUCCAUCUAUAUUUACAUGUGCUCUAGCUGGAUUUCAUCCGUUAACUCUUCACGAAGAGGAGCGACAGAGGCAAGGGUCGAUGUGGAGGUUAGGAGGCGGAGGCGGUGGUUCUAAGUUGAGGUUUGAAUUUAGGUAGAUGAUCACGCCAUUAAUUUAUCUUUUUCCAUCCAUGGCCAGCAUCACAACUUCAUCGUCAUCGACAACUUCAUCCUUGCAAUCGUUUGGGUCAAUCGAUUUAUAUCAAACCAUCUUCUUCCUACAUCAGAUUAGUAAACUCAUAUUAGUAAUUGGAUCUGUCGUUUUUGAAUUUCUUUUUGUUGUUUGAAUUGUGGUGUAUGUGUGUUGUUUAUAUCGAAAUUAGGUAGCUAUUGAAUUGGAUGUGUUAAGAAGUUUUGUGAAUUGAAAAUUAUUAGUUUUUUCUUUUUCGAAAAUGAAAAUGAGCCGUGGGUUUAUUAAAUUUUUUCAGAUUAAUUAAUUUCAAUUGUUUAAGUUAGAUUAUAAUUCAAGUGAAUUAUGUUUUAUUUAGUUAAUUAUUAUGUGUAUUGGAAAUUUAUUAUAUGCAUGUGUGUUAGUGUGGGUGUUUGAAUUUAUAUAUGUGCUAUUGGUGUGUUA